CAGAAGAUAGUUUAAUUUAGAAUCCUGGCUUUGGGAGCCAGGGGUGGGAGUUAGAAUCUCUCUCUUCUGG
rnacentral:tRNA from 1 species